GCCUUACAAAGUAACCUAAGUUAGCUUUGAACUCUUUUUUAUUUUUUUAAGAUUUUAUUUAUUUAUUAUUAUACAACAUUCUGCUUCCAUGUAUAUCUGCACACCAGAAGACGGCACCAGAUCUCAUAGCGGAUGCUUGUGAGUCACCAUGUGGUUGCUGGGAAUUGAACUCAGGACCUCUGGAAGAGCAGUCAGUGCUCUUAACCUCUGAGCCAUCUCUCCAGCCCCAGCUUUGAACUCUUGACCAUCCUGCUUCAGCACCCAAGUGUGUGAUAACAGGAGAAAGGAGCAUAUCACAAUCUUUCUUUUUCUUGCUAAGUCAGUCUGCGGGAUCUCCAGCUAGUGGAAACGGGAGUAGCUUCCACAAAUUUCUUGCUGAAGGCAGAAAGUGGAAUGAGAAGUAUCAGGACUGGAAGGGAAUGCACAUUGAUGGGAUGUAACUUUUCCUGAUUCUGAAGUGUUGAGAAGAUGAAGGUAUAAAGUCUAAGCCUUCCAACCCCAUGUCCAGAGUUGUUCUCACUGUACCACACUACACAGUACUAUUCAAAAGAGCUAUUUUGCUGAUGUUUUAUUUCAGUCUUAGCAUCCCUGGAGGGAUCUGGGGGAGACCAUCCCCUUAUUAUAUGGAUAAUACUUGCUGACACAUGCUAGGCUUUGGGUACCACUUAUGAAGCCAAGCUAUUUCUUGUGAAUAUCUCACAUGUUCUCACAUGAACUCUUGGGGGUUGUGCCUAUUUUACAGACAAAAAAAAAAAAAAGGAAACUUGGGAACACUGAGCAAUUAUCAGGGAACCCACAGCUAAGACAUGAUGGAGCCAAGACUUGAACCUAUACUUAGAUACAGGGGAAAGCCAAACUACAGAGGGCCUAACUCACGCAUGAAAGGAAGAACUGAAGUAGGAUGGAAGCAUGUGGCAGGUUUCUCCAUCACAGUUUCUGUCUUGAUUUUGUAAGAAGAACAAUUCCAGAGUUUAAAAGAGCUCACAUCUUACAGGAUCAACCAAGGGUGAUGGUAGAACAUGAAGACUUCUUAUCUAUUUGGUUAGGCUCUUCAAAGCAGCAAGGAAAGAGUGCAUGCACCUGGAUCCUCCUCGCCAAUAAGGAAACCCAGAGUGCCAUCUCUUUAAGUGAGACACGUAUCAGAACAUGGCAUCGACCCCAGAAAUUGCACAGAGCCAGAGUGUCCCCAGCAUCAACACCUUUCAGGAGAGAAACUGAAUUCAUUUGCCAACAACCAACUCCAUCGGACAGUGCCAGAAAGUACGGGACUGCUUGCGUUCAUUUCUUCGAGAUGAGUCAGGGUUGCAGGGUGUCGAUGAUUAGAUGUAAAUGUUAAACCAAAAGCCCAUGGUGGUCACUUUGGCUUUCCUUCUGUGGAAAUCCAGCUUCUCACUUGGGGGGAAGGGGUUGUGUUACAUGUGAUAUUGGCAUGUUGCUCUGGUUUCCUGAAGCCCCCAUUUUUUGGGUCUCUCUGUGCCCUUCCCAUAUACACAAACACAUUUUCAGGUAAAACAUCUGGAAGGUCCUAUUUCAAAAGAGCAUGGCCAAGAAAAUCUUUCCAUUUGUAAAAAUAAUGUAAACCCUUUAGACUGUAAUGUCCUGCAGAGCAGGGGAAUUAUACAACAGCAAUAAAAUUGUCAGCUUUCAAUAAUCAGCCACAUUUUUUAUGGUAUUUUGUCACUGGGAAAGCACUUUUUAAUAAUCA
ensembl:lncRNA